UGGCACAGUUGGUAGAGCAUGGCGCUUACAAUGCCAAAUGUCGUGGGAUCGAUUCCCGC
rnacentral:tRNA from 1 species